UGCACCACGUGCGCCACCCGGCCCUGGGCGGGCGUCGCUCCGAACGACGCGAACGAGCGCCACCACCCGGCUCGUUCGAGGGCGUGCGCGGCGAGG
rnacentral:tRNA from 1 species